rnacentral:rRNA from 1 species
GAUGAACGCUGGCGGCGUGCCUAAUACAUGCAAGUCGAGCGAACAGACGAGGCGCUUGCUCCUCUGACGUUAGCGGCGGACGGGUGAGUAACACGUGGAUACCCUACCUAUAAGACUGGGAUAACUUCGGGAAACCGGCGCUAAUACCGGAUAAUCUAUUGAACCGCAUGGUUCAAUAGUGAAAGACGGUUUUGCUGUCUCUUAUAGAUGGAUCCGCGCCGCAUUAGCUAGUUGGUAAGGUAACGGCUUACCAGGGCGACGAUGCGUAGCCGACCUGAGAGGGUGAUCGGCCACACUGGAGCUGAGACACGGUCCAGACUACUACGGGAGGCAGCAGUAGGGAAUCUGCCGCAAUGGGCGAAAGCCUGACGGAGCAGCGCCGCGUGAGUGAUGAAGGUCUUCGGAUCGUAAAACUCUGUUAUUAGGGAAGAACAAAUGUGUAAGUAACUAUGCACGUAUUGACGGUACCUAAUCAGAAAGCCACGGCUAACUACGUG